AAAUAUGAUGAUGUAGAUUGCAAUGCAUCUUGGAAACAGUAGUCAGUUAACAGCAACAGUGUUCAAUCCGCUUUAUGAAAAAGACUACCUUUCCCAUAAUGCCACAGCUUACAAGAGGACCCGGAAGUCGCAUGAAAUACAAACUGCCACACAUGACGACGUGUGAUCUUCGUUUUGUCUUUAUAUAAUACUGUAAGAAGUCAUGUUCCACACUUCGUCAAACCUGAAGAAGAGUAUCUUCCUGCAAUCUGGGCUCCAGACCUGGAGAUUGAAGUUCCUAAAGGUUGAUGUUUAUCAAGCUUGUGACCUUAUUGCAUGGUGUUAUUUUUCACAUUUGUAUAUCUAACACACAUUUGCAUCUGUAAACAUAAAUUUUAUAUUUCAU